CGGAGGGUGCAAGCGUUAUCCGGAUUCACUGGGUUUAAAGGGUGUGUAGGCGGGUAUUUAAGUCAGUGGUGAAAUCUCCAGGCUCAGCCUGGAAACUGCCAUUGAUACUAUUUAUCUUGAAUAUUGUUGAGGUAGGCGGAAUAUGUCAUGUAGCGGUGAAAUGCUUAGAUAUGACAUAGAACACCGAUUGCGAAGGCAGCUUGCUAAACAAUUAUUGACGCUGAGGCACGAAAGCGUGGGAAUCAAACAGGAUUAGAUACCCUGGUAGUCCACGCCCUAAACGAUGAUUACUGGACAUUUGCGAUAUACAGUGAGUGUCUGAGCGAAAGCAUUAAGUAAUCCACCUGGGAAGUACGUCCGCAAGGAUG
rnacentral:rRNA from 1 species